GUCUGUGCCUUCAAGCAGUUCAGAGUCCACUAAGAAGGUAGUGGUGGUGGCCAACAGCAACCCUUUUCCACCUGUGCGUCACACCUAUCCCCAGAGUUUGGGAAGUUCUGCUGCUAGGGUCGUUAUACAGG